CAACAUUCUACUGGGUUUUUCUAUCACCAUUGUCAUUUUGUUGACAAUUAUGUGGAGGAAGUACCAUACUGCUCAGAAUUCAAGAGCUUCAAGGUUUGAAGGACCCAUUGGACAGAGCACCUCCAUCCAAAACACAGGCCAGAAGUCCCCUUACCGUGAGUGACGUUUUGAUGUGUGAUAGCAGAAGCCCUCCCCCUGACUAGAGCUUCUCUCUGUCACUCUAGGACUGGAUUCACAGGACACCAGCUCAGCAACUCGCCUGGAAACCAAAUGGAGACAUCCGGAAACGGAUUCCAGCUUCAACAGAGCAUGGAUGUGCCUACAGCAGCUCAUCAAAUCAGGGCACAACGGGAUGUACUACAAAGCUAAGAUGACACGUG